UGAACAAUCAACCAAUCACCUGAUCAGUGGCUGUCAGUGAAACAUUGGCUUCAUUCCAAUUCUCUUGACGUGUGUACAUGUAACCCCUGGUGGAUUUAAAAGGCAUGUAAUGGUUUCAGUAUAUGGUGGCCACUGUGUCCACCUGGCUGAAGGGAUCCUCCUCACUCAGAUCACAGAUCCAGGAUCAGCUUAUCCUCCCCAUUUCCAAUAGGGGUUUUACAAGCAAAACUGAUCAUAGAUCAGUGUCUAAAGACAACGACAUAAACUGGUCUUUUAAUGGUUCCCUUUGAUUGUUUAAGGAAAACUUCAUCCUCCUCUGAGUGUCCCGACUGGCACCCUUUAUAGUGCACUGCUUCUGACCAGGGCCUAUAGGACUCAGUGCACUGCUUCUGACCAGGGCCUAUAGGACUCAGUGCACUGCUUCUGACCAGGGCCUAUAGGACUCAGUGCACUGCUUCUGACCAGGGCCUAUAGGACUCAGUGCACUGCUUCUGACCAGGGCCUAUAGGACUCAGUACACUGCUUCUGACCAGGGCCUAUAAGGACUCAGUGCACUGCUUCUGACCAGGGCCUAUAGGACUCAGUGCACUGCUUCUGACCAGGGCCUAUAGGACUCAGUGCACUGCUUCUGACCAGGGCCUAUAGGACUCAGUGCACUGCUUCUGACCAGGGCCUAUAGGACUCAGUGCACUGCUUCUGACCAGGGCCUAUAGGACUCAGUGCACUGCUUCUGACCAGGACCUAUAGGACUCAGUGCACUGCUUCUGACCAGGGCCUAUAGGACUCAGUGCACUACUUCUGACCAGGACCUAUAGGACUCAGUGCACUGCUUCUGACCAGGGCCUAUAGGACUCAGUGCACUGCUUCUGACCAGGGCCUAUAGGACUCAGUGCACGGUCCUGGUCAAAAGUAGUGCACUAGGAAAUAGGGUGCAUUUGGGACACAGUCUGAGUCACCUACUAGGAUGCAGGGCAGUGUUCAGGAGUGUCGACAGUGAGCAGCACCUGUGUAACCUCACAGACAGGAAGUCAGUGAGCAGCACCUGUGUAACCUCACAGACAGAAGACAGUGAGCAGCACCUGCGUAACCUCACAGACAGGAAGUCAGUGAGCAGCACCUGUGUAACCUCAGACAGGAAGACAGUGAGCAGCACCUGCGUAACCUCACAGAC
rnacentral:lncRNA from 1 species